AAAACGCAACAUGAAAUGAAAUAAAUAAAAAAAUAAAAGGAAGGAUCUUUGCUCUGCUAGGGUUCGUCUAUUAUGCAGCCAUUAGACCACCAUCAGUUUGGUGGCUAGUGACGCGAAUGACGAUUAACUUUCUCCGGCGGGAGCCUCGACCACGAAGAUCCGGUACGGGAUGCGCUGGUGCUUGGCGUGAGACUGUGCUGGCGCGGGUGUGGUUGCUAGAGGGUACGGAGGCCGUACAUGGGGCUUGGCUGGUUGCAGCGCAUGGGAAAGAACCCUAGGGUCCUAAAAUUUAUGGGCCAUUCGGGGUAUUAGGCUGAGACAUUUCGUAAGUGGGCUUGUGACUUGGGUCUUGGGUCAUGUAAUCUGAACUUUGGACAUUUAUUGGACUGUUAUAAAUUUAUUUUAUGUUUUAUGGUUUGUUUGUAA